UACAGAGACCUCAAGCGUUAUCCGGAUUUAUUGGGCGUAAAGCGUGUGUAGGCGGUCUGAUUAGUCAGAUGUCAAAGACUGGGGCUCAACCCCAGGAAGGCAUUUGAAACGGUCAGACUAGAGAAUGUGAGAGAUUGCUGGAAUUCAUGGUGUAGUAGUGAAAUGCGUUGAUAUCAUGAGGAACACUCAAGGCGAAGGCAAGCAAUUGGCACAUUUCUGACGCUCAGACACGAAAGCGUGGGGAGCAAAC
rnacentral:rRNA from 1 species